CUGAACGAUGAAGAAACAGGUGACGUUUGCUCAGGGCCGUACAGAGACGCAGCUGCAGAACCACAGGUUUUCUCUGCCAGCUGAGACCAAAUUGGUCAAAGAUGUGGAGUUUUGUCAGCAGAGACGGUACUCGACACCCAGUGACCGCAGAGCCACAGUGCACAUACCUCGGUGCUUGGCCACAGCUCCAUUUCUCAAGCACUCAGGCCUGACCCCGGC